AGUGUCCUUGCAGUAUGGGGGAGUUCUGCAUGUCCAUGUCUUUUAAGGAUGUUUAAGAGAGCAUCCACAGCAUUAUGUUUAACUUGAAAUAUACAUGCCCAUUCUAAAAGUUCUUCCCUGAGUGUGGGUGUAAUAUCUUCGCUCUCAGAACUUGGUAUACUAAAAAAAUAUAUUUUCUUUUUUUGAUAACUACACACAUGGAUACAGAUAUUGAUCUGAAAAACGUUUUUGUGACUUGUUUAAGGAAGUGUGAAUGAUCCACAAUCUCUUCGAGAUGAAAUCUACAAGUUAUUUGAGAGUUUGGAGAGGGGAAUCAUGCUGAAACUAGACCAAAUCCAGGACAACAUCACAACAGCGGUCGGAACAAUGCAGCAGUCAACAAGUCAGCCAAGCACCACUGUCUCUGAUCUUACAGAGGUGCUAGAGGUGCCAUGUAAGACUGUGGAGGAACUAAAAGAGCUGUGUGAUUCGUUAUCUGUGUCUUCAGAGUGGAGGCAGCUUGGGAGGUGGAAUUAGCAGGAUGCUGAAAAAAUUGGAGAUAACUCCUUAUGAAAACAUAACAGUUACAAAGGGAGAAAGGGAAAACGUAAAUUUCAGCAGCUCCUAAUCAAUGAUGCUAUCAUACGUGCUUGCAGUAAGGCAUUCCCACACCAAAAAUCCCAGAGUAUGGAGGAAAUGAUUGCUGUGACCCUAAAACAUGCCCCAGAUCGUGCAAAAACAGCCAAUCAGGCGAGUGCAUUAUAACAUUUAAUUCUAGCAGUUAUAAACAAUCAGCCAAAAAAAAAAAAAUCAUUUAUAAUUCUCACACUGACGGACGGAGGAACAGAGACAGACAGACAGAUAGAUAGAAGGACAGACAGAUAGAUAGAUAUACAGCAUUUUAUAAUUUGUACCUGUUUGUCGGCAUUAUAGCUUUGGGUCACACCUUUUGAUCCGGGUGAUCAAACGCAUAAUGGCGUCCCAAAUAU